GAACAUGUUGGUUAAAUCCCCUCCUUUACUA
rnacentral:tRNA from 1 species